rnacentral:tRNA from 1 species
GGCCCCGUAGCUCAAUUGGUAGAGCAGUUGACUCUUAAUCAAUUGGUUGAAGGUUCGAGUCCUUCCGGGGUCA